CGGGGCAGAGACGAAGCGACAGUACCGUGAGGGAAGAUGAAAAGAACUUUGAAAAGAGAGUUAAACAGUACGUGAAAUUGUUGAAAGGGAAACGAUUGAAGCCAGUCGUACCUUCGGGUAAUCAGCCUUUCGGGUGCGAUUCUGUGGAGUUUGAGGAGUUUAACACCUUCCUGCCUGUGUAUAUUGGUGCUUUGGGUGGACUUUGCCCUUUGGUAUGGUAAGCCCAAUUUUGGUGGGCCUAAAAUGACCUGAGGGGAGGAACUUCGAUAAAA
rnacentral:rRNA from 1 species